AAUGGGCGCAAGCCUGAUCCAGCCACGCCGCGUGAGUGAUGAAGGCCUUCGGGUUGUAAAGCUCUGUGGGGAGGGGCGAAAACGGCCGGUAAGAAACGACCGGUCCUUGACGGUACCUCCUUAGCAAGCACCGGCUAACUCUGUGCCAGCAGCCGCGGUAAUACAGAGGGUGCGAACGUUGCUCGGAAUUACUGGGCGUAAAGCGCGUGUAGGCGGAUGGGUAAGUCAGAUGUGAAAUCCCCGAGCUCAACUCGGGAACUGCAUUUGAAACUGCUCGUCUUGAGUACCGGAGAGGGUGGCGGAAUUCCUGGUGUAGAGGUGAAAUUCGUAGAUAUCAGGAGGAACACCGGUGGCGAAGGCGGCCACCUGGACGGUUACUGACGCUGAGACGCGAAAGCGUGGGGAGCAAA
rnacentral:rRNA from 1 species